UGCUGCCUUGUCAAAUUCAGUGCUUCCUCUACAAUGACCCGUACUGACCCGUAAUGGCUGCCGCGGUGAAACUAGUUAUGGGGCCCACAACCAUAUGGAAAGGGUGUUAGGGACAAUUUAUGUCUAUCCAGUA